rnacentral:rRNA from 1 species
CUCUGACCUCAAAUCAGGCAGGACUACCCGCUGAACUUAAGCAUAU